UCCCACCCUGUGAAGGGGUAAGGCUCCCGGUAGACGACCGGGUUGAUAGGCCGGGUGUGGAAGCACGGUAACGUGUGGAGCUGACCGGUACUAAUAGGCCGAGGACUUGACCACAA
rnacentral:rRNA from 1 species